rnacentral:piRNA from 1 species
UNGGUCACAGAUCUUCAGGCUGCCUUCUA